GACAGAGGGUGCGAACGUUGUUCGGAAUUACUGGGCGUAAAGCGCGUGUAGGCGGCAGCGCAAGUCGGGCGUGAAAUCCCACGGCUCAACCGUGGAAGUGCACUCGAAACUGCGCAGCUAGAGUCCUGGAGAGGAAGGUGGAAUGCUUGGUGUAGAGGUGAAAUUCGUAGAUAUCAAGCGGAACACCGGUGGCGAUGGCGGCCUUCUGGACAGUGACUGACGCUGAGACGCGAAAGCGUGGGGAGCAAACAGG
rnacentral:rRNA from 1 species